GACGGAGGAUGCAAGUGUUAUCCGGAAUCACUGGGCGUAAAGCGUCUGUAGGUGGUCAAAUAAGUCAACUGUUAAAUCUUGAGGCUCAACCUCAAAAUCGCAGUCGAAACUAUUAGACUAGAGUAUAGUAGGGGUAAAGGGAAUUUCCAGUGGAGCGGUGAAAUGCGUAGAGAUUGGAAGGAACACCGAUGGCGAAGGCACUUUACUGGGCUAUUACUAACACUCAGAGACGAAAGCUAGGGUAGCAAAGGGG
rnacentral:rRNA from 1 species